AUUGAACGCUGGCGGCAUGCUUUACACAUGCAAGUCGAACGGUAACAGGCCGCAAGGUGCUGACGAGUGGCGAACGGGUGAGUAAUGCAUCGGAACGUGCCCAGUCGUGGGGGAUAACGCAGCGAAAGCUGUGCUAAUACCGCAUACGAUCUAUGGAUGAAAGCGGGGGACCGGAAGGCCUCGCGCGAUUGGAGCGGCCGAUGUCAGAUUAGGUAGUUGGGGGGGUAAAGGCCCACCAAGCCGACGAUCUGUAGCUGGUCUGAGAGGACGACCAGCCACACUGGGACUGAGACACGGCCCAGACUCCUACGGGAGGCAGCAGUGGGGAAUUUUGGACAAUGGGCGCAAGCCUGAUCCAGCAAUGCCGCGUGCAGGAAGAAGGCCUUCGGGUUGUAAACUGCUUUUGUACGGAACGAAACGGUCUGGGUUAAUACCCUGGGCUAAUGACGGUACCGUAAGAAUAAGCACCGGCUAACUACGUGCCAGCCGCCGCCGUAAAAC
rnacentral:rRNA from 1 species